GCCGCUGCCACGCUGGCUCUCCCACACUCACUCCCGCCCUCCAGCUGCUAUAGCUAAAAUCUGGAGCCACGGAGUUCACUUUUCUAUAGAAGACAAAGCUGAGCAUGCUCAGUGGCCAAGGCAAAGUUUGGUCGGAAACUAGUUUUUGCAUUAGACUCUCCAUGGGCUCCAUAGACUCUCCUGUACCUUACGACUAGGCACAGGAGCGUUUCCCCGGUGAAAUGGAGAAGAGGACACUUGGUCUUUUCAACUUUACUAGGAGGGCUCCUUUCUUCCCAGUCCGUAAGGAGGGGUCUGACUUUCAUUUCCACCCCAGCAUUAUCACCUUAACUCUCAUUCCAGUCAAUCCCGAAACUCCGUUGCCCUACCCACUUCACCCUUCUUUUGUUUGUCCUGAUUUGAUUCCUGCGUUCUCACAGAGGGCUACCUGGACUUUGAACCUCCACCCCCCUUUCUACAUUCUUGCAUUCCAGAAACAUAUGAAGCUCAUUUCUGCCACCCUUCCUAGAAAACUGGUUCCUGACAGAGACAUGUGGAAAGGUAAGUAAACCUGGGCCCAAGAUCACAGAGCACACAGCUGGAAUUCACAGCAAGACCUGAUUGACUUCGAAGUCAGUGGUCUUUCCCCUGCUUCCCACGAGACAGGUUACUACAUGAAGAGCUGGGACUGGAAUACAGGUUUUCUAUGUUCACCUGGGGAUAGCUUUUCCAUCAUCCCUCCUGAGUCUGUGAGGUAUCCCAGUUUUUAAGCCAGAACUUUGAAACCAGAAGUAAAUGGUUAAGUUUAUCUGUCUAUGCCUAUGUGUAUUCUAGCCAAAUAAACCAUGACACUUAAAACAAUUUCAAUAUUUCAAAGAUGUAGUAAAUUUCCUUGAACCUUUUUUAUUGUUUUUUAUAAAUUAAAAAUUAUGAAAUAAUUCAAACAUUUUUAAAAUAGGAAAUAACGUGAUAUGCAUGUACCCCAUACCCAGAUUUAAUAGAUGUUUACAUUAUGCAGUAUCUGUUUCUUUUUUUUUUUUUUUUCUUGAGACAGAGUCUUGCUCUGUCACCCAGGCUGGAGUGCAGUGGCAUAAUCUCGGCUCACUGCAACCUCCGCCUCCCGGGUUCAAGCGAUUCUCCUGCCUCAGCCUCCUGAGUAGGUGAGAUUACAGGCGCGCACCACCAAGUCCAGCUAUUUUUUGUGUUUUUAGUAGAGACAGGGUUUCACCAUGUUGGUCAGGCUGGUCUCGAACUCCUGACCUCGUGAUCCACCUACCUUGGCCUCCCAAAGUGCUGGGAUUGCAGGCAUGAGCCACCGCACCUGGCCUUCAAUUUUUUGAUAGAAGUAAGACAUCACAGGUACAAUCAAAGUUUCCUAAUCUUAUAUUUCUUCUCACACUUCCCAGAGGAAAAUGACUAUUCUAAAGUUAGUUACUUCUAUUUCUUAAUUGUAAUACAUUUAUUCAUAUUCUUAAGACAUUUAUGUAAUAUUGUGUUAAGUAUUUUUGAAAUGUAUAUAAAUGGAAUCAUACAAUAAAGACCCUCAGCAGUUUUUUUUCACUGAAUGUUCUGGUUUCAAGAUUUAUCCAUGUGAAUAUGUGUAGGUCUAGUUUAUUCAUUUUAAUUAUUGUGUUAUAUUUUAUUGUAUGACCAUAACAUUUAUUUUUUCUUUUGAUUGUGAAUUUAAUUUUUUUAAUAUUUAAACAGUGCUGCAAUGAACAUUUUUCCUUAUAUCUAUCUGCUUGUUCCUGUGAGCUUCUCAAACCAUGACCUGAAGAUCGCUACCAGUUCAUAACUAAUUAAGUACAGAAAUUGACAAUAUUAAUUUAGAAACUUUAAUAGCAAUCCAACUGAGUACUUUUAUGUCUAUUGAAUCCAAUAAUACAGAAUAUUGAGUUCUGUAUUUUGUAUGUCUGUUUUAAAAUUUUAUUUUUUUGAGAUAGGGUCUCACUCUGUCUCCUAGGCCAGAGUGCAGUGGCGCAAUCACAGCUCACUGUAGCCUCAAAACUCCCAGGCUCAGGUGAUCGAUCCUCUCACCUCAGCUCCUGAGGAGCUAGGACUACAGGCGCACACCACCAUACCUGGCUAAUUUUUUCACUUGUUAUAGAGAUGGGGCUUUGCCAUCUUGCCCAGACUGGUCUCGAACUCCUGGGCUCAAGUGAUCCAUCCACCUCAGCCUUCCAACAUGCUGGGACUACAGGCAUGAGCCACUGUCCCCAGCCAAAAUUUUAUUUAUUCAUUUUCAUUGUAUUUUACAAACAUAUUGAUCCUCAGCAGCAUGGAAAUAUUUUUAGAAAACUUGCCUUUUUAUUACAGAUAGUUUGAGACUUUCUGCAUGGUUUCUACUUGCAAGUUGAAUUUCUGGCUUGAUGAAUAAGUGCAUCUUUAGCUCUAAAACAUAUAAACAAAUUCCACUCCAGAAUGGUCAAACCAAUUUUCAAUCUCUUCUGCAGUGUAUAAGUUUCCUUUUCCAACAGUUGCAUUAUCAGACCUUUAAAUCUUUUCUCAAUAUGAUAGCUAUGAAAUAUUUUAUUUAACUAGCAAUUAUCUGAUAAAUAGUGACGUUGAACAUCUAUUUAUAUGCUAAUUACAUUCCCAGUUACCUGACUUUAACAAGGCAGGUUUUCCAGUUUGCAAGUAUGGGGAAAAUAUGUCUUUAAAAAUCUAGCUAUAGCAGGCAAAGUAUCAUAACAGGUAAAACUGGUUUUUAAGAAGAAAAGCCUAGGAACAGCUAGCUUUGACUUGAUGAAGGACAGGAAAAACCAGUUGUAGCAAUUGAGUACAUGGACAGAUACUUUAGAGUACAUGUCUUUUCCGGUAUUUUGGUUUUGGGACAAUCCCUCCAUCACCAUUAUGACGUUUCAGUGGAGCAAUUUUCACUAAGAAUUUUGUACCUGUUUUCCAGUUUUGAUCAUCGAUGAUUUUCUGGUUCUAAUGAGAUCAAGGACAUGAAGAGGCUGAGUGCCUCCAUGAGCUUCAUUAUUUUCCAUGAUCUGACCUCUCAUUCUCUUAAGCUUUGGAGUUGGAUGAAGGAAGAACUCUGAAAAAAAGGUGGGAGGGUGUAGGUCCAGGCACCCCCUUGUAAUUCACACUGCCUCAGCCUGAGAGUUUGUGUGUGUGUGUGUGUGUGUGUGUGUGUGUGUGUGUGUGUGUGUUGUUGUUGUUGUUGUUUUUGAGAUGGAGUCUGCCUCUGUUGCCAGUCUGGAGUGCAAUGGUGCCAUCUCAGCUCACUGCAACCUCUGCCUCCCGGGUUCAAGCGAUUCUCCUGCCUCAGCCUCCCGAGUAGCUGGGACUACAGGCAAAUGCCACCAUGCCUGGCUAAUUUUUUGUAUUUUUAGUAAGACGGGGUUUCACCGUGUUAACCAGGAUGGUCUCGAUUUCCUGACCUCGUGAUCCGCCCACCUCGG
rnacentral:lncRNA from 1 species